rnacentral:lncRNA from 1 species
ACUCUCCUGAAAUCCACGCUGGCUUUAUCUCCCCAUCACGGUGAGGCCGUGAGGCGAACUGGUCUCAAAUCAUUUCCAAGUCUUUGAUCUAAAAUCCGGUUUUGAUGUGGCAGCUCCCACAGCACCAAGCGAGGCAUUAGACGACAUCCUCUGACUUGGAGGAAACAUCCGUACACUGAGCCUCCUGUUCUACAGGCAGCAAGAGGACUCCUGUGGUUUCACUGCCACCAGUCCGACAGGCUCCCCUGCCCUUAGGACAGGCAGGGCCUCAAGAGCAGGGUGUCUUCACCUCCACACUCUUCGUGUUUUGAUUGGCUGCUUCGUUGUGAGGCUGUCCUGAUGCUGCACAUGCGCAGAAGCUCCAGGGCAACACCCACCACCUCAGAUCUGCUGAGAGAGCUCCCCUGCUGUUGCACGGCUGGCAAGGUCACACAGCACAGGAGCGAAUCACGUGGCACAGAGCAGUAGGGGCAGGUUGAUACCAGAUGCCUCUGGGAGAGGCUGGUCAGCAGCCCUUGCAAAGAUGCCUGGAUCAGGUUAGUGAGGUUCCAGGAGGGAGCAGCAGCAGCAACAGGAGAGGCUCCAGUGGCUGCACAAUCUUAAGUGCAGGCUCACCGGCCAUUAUUCCUGGACCACAGGACACUGACAUCAGCUGGCUAUUCAAAGGCAACAGUGGCAUGAGCUGCCAGCCCAAGCUUCUCCCAGGUGCUCUUCAGAUUUACAGUGUAGAAGAUGCCAUCACUUUUCCUUUUGUAGAUGGACUGUCCACUGGGAAGUCAAGGUGGAUGCCACCCACGUGGGUUCCUGCUGUGAAGAAUCUGAGGCCAUCCUCCUCCUUCAUGUGCAGGACGUCAAGGGCUCCGGACAAGAAUUGGAGUCACUGGAUCAAAGGGAAUUAGGAAAUCUGCUUUUCAAUAAUCCAAGGAUCAAAUAAGAAAUUACAAUGGAAAUGAGAAUAUAUUUUGAAUACUAAAAACAUGUCAAAGUUCAUGGGUUGCAGUUAAAGCCUUGUUUUAGAAGGAAAUUUAUCACUUAAGAAGUUAAUAAAGACUGAAAAUCAAUUCA